rnacentral:rRNA from 1 species
GACGAACGCUGGCGGCGCGCUUAACACAUGCAAGUCGAACGGAAAGGCCUGCUUUCCCUUGUGGAUUGCGGGUACUCGAGUGGCGAACGGGUGAGUAACACGUGAGUGAUCUGCCCCCAACUUGGGUAUAAGCCUGGGAAACUGGGUCUAAUUCCCGAUAGGACUGCAGGGUGGUGCCUGUGGUGGAAAACGAUUUUCUAGUGGUUGGGGAUGAGCUCGCGGCCUAUCAGCUUGUUGGUGGGGUAAUGGCCUACCAAGGCGGCGACGGGUAGCCGGCCUGGGAGGGUGGACGGCCACAUUGGGACUGAGAUACGGCCCAGACUCCUACGGGAGGCAGCAGUGGGGAAUAUUGCACAAUGGGCGGAAGCCUGAUGCAGCGACGCUGCGUGGGGGAUGACGGCCUUCGGGUUGUAAACUCCUUUCGACCGCGAGGAAGCCACCUGGUUGGAAGGGUGGUGACGGUAGUGGUAGAAGAAGCACCGGCUAACUACGUG